rnacentral:rRNA from 1 species
CUGGCAGUAAACGGUGCACGUUUGGUAUGGGCGCAAUCGACCGCGCCCGUGCCGGAGCUAACGCGUUAAACGUGCCGCCUGGGAAGUACGGUCGCAAGAUUAAAACUCAAAGAAAUUGACGGGGACCCGCACAAGCGGUGGAGUAUGUGGCUUAAUUCGAUGCAACGCGAAGAACCUUACCUGGUCUUGACAUGCAUUGUGUCUCCGCUGAAAGGCGGAUAGCGUAGCAAUACGCGCUUUGCACAGGUGC